CAGGAUGAACGCUGGCGGCGUGCAUAAUACAUGCAAGUCGAGCGACAGACGAGGAGCUUGCUCCUCUGACGUUAGCGGCGGACGGGUGAGUAACACGUGGAUAACCUACCUAUAAGACUGGGAUAACUUCGGGAAACCGGAGCUAAUACCGGAUAAUAUAUUGAACCGCAUGGUUCAAUAGUGAAAGACGGUUUUGCUGUCACUUAUAGAUGGAUCCGCGCCGCAUUAGCUAGUUGGUAAGGUAACGGCUUACCAAGGCAACGAUGCGUAGCCGACCUGAGAGGGUGAUCGGCCACACUGGAACUGAGACACGGUCCAGACUCCUACGGGAGGCAGCAGUAGGGAAUCUUCCGCAAUGGGCGAAAGCCUGACGGAGCAACGCCGCGUGAGUGAUGAAGGUCUUCGGAUCGUAAAACUCUGUUAUUAGGGAAGAACAAAUGUGUAAGUAACUAUGCACGUCUUGACGGUACCUAAUCAGAAAGCCACGGCUAACUACGUGCCAGCAGCCGCGGUAAUACGUAGGUGGCAAGCGUUAUCCGGAAUUAUUGGGCGUAAAGCGCGCGUAGGCGGUUUUUUAAGUCUGAUGUGAAAGCCCACGGCUCAACCGUGGAGGGUCAUUGGAAACUGGAAAACUUGAGUGCAGAAGAGGAAAGUGGAAUUCCAUGUGUAGCGGUGAAAUGCGCAGAGAUAUGGAGGAACACCAGUGGCGAAGGCGACUUUCUGGUCUGUAACUGACGCUGAUGUGCGAAAGCGUGGGGAUCAAACAGGAUUAGAUACCCUGGUAGUCCACGCCGUAAACGAUGAGUGCUAAGUGUUAGGGGGUUUCCGCCCCUUAGUGCUGCAGCUAACGCAUUAAGCACUCCGCCUGGGGAGUACGACCG
rnacentral:rRNA from 1 species